rnacentral:rRNA from 1 species
UACGGAGGGUGCAAGCGUUGUCCGGAAUCACUGGGCGUAAAGGGCGCGUAGGCGGCUCGGUAAGUAGGGGGUGAAAUCCUGCGGCUUAACCGCAGGGCUGCCUUCUAAACUGUCGAGCUUGAGCACGGUAGAGGCAGAUGGAAUUCCCGGUGUAGCGGUGGAAUGCGUAGAGAUCGGGAAGAACAUCAGUGGCGAAGGCGGUCUGCUGGGCCGUUGCUGACGCUGAGACGCGAAAGCGUGGGGAGCGAACAGG